rnacentral:rRNA from 1 species
CCUACGGGCGACAGCAGUGAGGAAUAUUGGUCAAUGGACGAGAGUCUGAACCAGCCAAGUAGCGUGAAGGAUGACUGCCCUAUGGGUUGUAAACUUCUUUUAUAAAGGAAUAAAACGAGGCACGUGUGCCUUUUUGCAUGUACUUUAUGAAUAAGGAUCGGCUAACUCCGUGCCAGCAGCCGCGGUAAUACGGAGGAUCCGAGCGUUAUCCGGAUUUAUUGGGUUUAAAGGGAGCGUAGAUGGGUUGUUAAGUCAGUUGUGAAAGUUUGCGGCUCAACCGUAAAAUUGCAAUUGAUACUGGCAGUCGUGAGUACAGUUGAGGUAGGCGGAAUUCGUGGUGUAGCGGUGAAAUGCUUAGAUAUCACGAAGAACCCCGAUUGCGAAGGCAGCUUACUAAACUGUGACUGACAUUGAUGCUCGAAAGUGUGGGUAUCAAACAGGAUUAGAUACCCCAGUAGUC